CUGAAGAAGCACCGGCGAACUGCUACACUUUCAUGAAUGUUCUUCAAGGAGUAAUCGCCGGAUCUGACCGCGGAGCUGGGCCGGCGAAGAAAUGCCACGUACUAGUACAAUCAGUCAGGUUUCUCCAGCCGUUUAGCGAACUGUGUGUUCCUUCGUGUGCAGCAACUCCCCCGCUAGGUCUGGAUCUGCCCACGCGGCUCCGUUCUAAGACUAGUGAGUACUACUAGUGUGCUUGGAGACGGCACUGCAGGACUCGCAGUGAGAGAUGGAGCAGGGCUUCCACCCGGACUGGCAUAGUCCAAACGUGGAGAUCACUGAGUCCUGCAAAGAAGUGGCUACAAUCGUGGGUGAAGAUAGGAAUCCAGAAACUGGCUGGGCAGUGAGUGCUUUUCCGCUGAAGAGAGGACGUACGAUGAUGGUGCAAGCCUGCUGCAUCCAUGAUAGUGAGAGAGAUACUGAGGUGGAUGCUACCGUCUCAAUAGGGAUCGGCCGCUUCAAACCAGAUUUGUCCCCGCAUACAUGUGUUGUCAACUCCGAAACAGGCAUGGUUGGCAAAGUUGUGUUCAGCGUGACUGACUCCAUCGUAAAGGUGAGCCUCUUGCGUCUUAUCCGUCCUUAGCAAUUCCUUAUCUUAGAGUCCAGAGGUUUCUGUAGCAACCGGUUUUGAUAAUCUCUGCCCGUCUCUCUCUCUCUCUCUCUCUCUCUCUCUCUCUCUCUCUCUCUCUCUCUCUCUCUCUCUCUCUCUCUCGCGCGCGCGCGCGCGCGCACACACACA